ACUACAGCUCCCAGAGUUCCUCGCUGCGCAGCCUCCGCUACAGGGCGCGAUCGGGGACAAACUCAGCUUCAUUCUCUUCUCUCGGUCUCAGGGUUGAGCUGGGCGAGGGGCGUGCCGAGGAUGGAGGACAAGCCUUACAGCAGCCUCAAGCCCUCUCUGGACAGGCUCACCCUGGGGGUCACCCGACUAUUAGAAACUUCUCCAGGAGUCAGUGAGGUGACAUUUGUGGAAAAGGAGCCAGCUGAACGUCACUCUAUUGUUUCCUGGGAGCAGAAAAACUCCUGUGUGUUGCCAGAGGAUUUAAAGAAUUUCUACCUAAUGAGUGAUGGCUUCCACAUGACCUGGAGUGUGAAAUUUGAUGAUAAUCCCAUGCCACUAGGCUCCAUGGUGAUUAACAGCAUCUCUAAGCUAAGUCGCCUCGGCGGAUCAUCGGCGUAUGCCCUACCCAAUGCACCGACCCUCGCUGAUCUGGAAGGUGAUACGGAUGAGGAAGGUAAUGAAGACCAGCCAGAAAAGCCUCACUUUGACUCUCGUAGCCUGAUAUUUGAAUUAGACCCAUGCAAUGGGAACGGGAAAGUUUGCCUUGUUUAUAAGCAUACCAAGCCAGUUGUCACCCCAGACACUGAGAUAUGGUUUCUGGACAGAGCUCUGUACUGGCAUUUCCUCACCGACACCUUCACUGCUUACUACCGACUGCUGAUCACCCACCUGGGUCUCCCGCAAUGGCAGUAUGCCUUUACGAGCUACGGUGUCAGCCCCCAGGCUAAGCAAUGGUUUAACAUGUACAAGCCCAUCACCAUCAACACAGCUCUACUCUCAGAAGAACCUGACUCCUUUGUGAACAAACUGGACCCCAACAAGGGCUGGGACCCUGGAGCGGGAAGCUGGGUGCAGCUCCGCAGGACAAGAACAGCUGCUGCAAGGUGAGCGUGGGGUCACUCUCCAACAUACACACGCUGGGGCUCCCUUCCACACGGGGGCAGGACCAGGGUUGCAGUGCCGGGUCAGCAAGUGCUGCUGCAGUGCCAGUGCCGAGGAGCAGGCACACCCAAAUUUGGACCUGGGGUGAGUCGCAAAGCACGAAACAAUGCAGCUGCUGGGUCACCUUAGUAAAAUGUUUCAGAACCGCGCUCCUAACACAGUGAAGCCCAGGCUCCCUUGGUCUAAACAAGAGCCACUCCGAACAGGGAAAGCAACCGUCACUGCCCGUUUGGGACCAAACCAAACCCAACCAGUUUCCUCUGCUCUGUUGCACCGUCUGUUCUGAGACGCCUAGUAUGAAGCAGAGGAGACUGGAGCCCCAAGUCCAGUGCAGUGGCCUGGCUGCCCGGGCUGCAACACCGACAACCACUGCAGAAGCUGUAGUGGCAGAUGUUGAAGGAGUUACUGCAGGAUGGCAUUUAGCCUCGCUAACUAUCUAUGUGUGGAGAAGAUCAAAAGCAGUAGGGUACUCCAGCUUUACCACUUUCUACAGCUCUUGGAGCCAGUGCAGUUACAGGAGAACACAGAAGCUUUACUGUUAGAGAUGCACAUGCCAGUAGAAACCCAGCUUGCCUCUCAGUUCUUAGGCCAGUUUGUAAAGCUGACCAUUAGAAAAGCCAUUGUUACUUGUAAACUGGGUAGGAUUUGCUCUGGAGGCGUUGAGAGCCCAUAAACAUGGAAGCCCAUGUUUAUACACCUUAGACAAUGUAAUUUUUCAGGGUAGAACUGCACUUUAACCCAUUCACUGCUGGUCUUCAACUGUACCCACUAUUGCCUCCAUUCUGUCACAUUCAGUUUUCUUAGCUGUACCGGGAACAUUUAGCAGCCACCAAGUCUGGUUUCAGAGCAGCAGCCAUGUUAGUCUGUAUUCGUAAAAAGAAAAGGAGGACUUGUGGCACCUUAGAGACUAACAAAUUUAUUAGAGCAUAAGCUUUCAUGAGCUACAGCUCACUUCAUCAGAAGUGAGUGUCAAUCUGGGUGUCUAAGAGAGAAAUCCAGGGCACCAUCUCAAAACAAGCAAUGAUUCUUUACAUUGGGGUGUGUCUAACUGCUAACAUGCUUGCAUAACUAUAUAAUAUCAACCUACAUGACAAGGUGUUGUGGGGGUUAUUUACUCUAUGUUUGUACAGCCCUUGGAAGUAUUAAGCACUGUAUAAGUGAAGUGUGAUGUAUUUUAAUAAAGAUUUUAAUAUUUUCCUCCAAA